rnacentral:rRNA from 1 species
UACGGAGGGUGCAAGCGUUGUCCGGAUUUAUUGGGUUUAAAGGGUGCGUAGGCGGCCCGUUAAGUCAGUGGUGAAAGCCUCCAGCUCAACUGGAGAACUGCCAUUGAUACUGGCGGGCUUGAGUACAGACGAGGUAGGCGGAAUUGAUUGUGUAGCGGUGGAAUGCAUAGAUACAAUCAAGAACACCGAUUGCGUAGGCAGCUUACUAGGCUGUAACUGACGCUGAGGCACGAAAGCGUGGGGAGCGAACAGG